rnacentral:tRNA from 2 species
AAAGUAGCUUAAUUUGGUAGAGCACUUGGUUCGGGACCAAGAGGUUGUGGGUUCAAAUCCCAUCUUU